GAAGAGAUGCUACGGUGCCUUAUGAAUAUGGCGAUUUACAAAUUAUUGCUGAUGCUGUCACAAGGUCCAUUGCAUGGCCAUCUAGCAAGAUGAAACCCUAUAAACCAGGGGCAUCUUCCUCAUCCCGCCGCUAAGGAAAUACAUACAGAAGGGUCAGGAAGUAACCAGGAAGAUGCCAGUUUGCAUCAGCUACAGAUUUUCUGUAAUGGAGCAAAACCAAUGUGUCUUUUAGGUCUCAUUAUGUAAACCUAUAUGGCAUCUUGUCAUCUGGGUAUUUAUCUUGUCAUCUGGGUAUUUUGUGUAAUGGAGAAAACAAUGAAUCUCGGACAUGCAUCUAUCAUUUUGUAAACCUAUCGGGCGAUUCGGUCACAAAACCAUAAAUGGUUCCUUCACUCUUGAGAAGUAAUUAUUAUGUUAUUCUUC